rnacentral:misc_RNA from 1 species
GGAAGUAGAAGUCGUAACAAGGUUUCCGAAGGUGAACCUGCGGAAGGAUCAUUAUUGUAUAACCGAGGUGCGAGGGCUGUCGCUGACCCGAAAGGUCGUGCACGCCCGAGUGCCCUCACACACAUCCAUCUCACCCCUAUGUGCACCACCGCGUGGGUCCCCCUUUGGCUUGUUCGGAGGGGGGCUUACGUUUUCACACAAACUUUGUAUGCAGUGUAGAAUGUAUUUUUUGUUUUUGCGAUCACGCAAUCAAUACAGCUUUCAACAACGGAUCUCUUGGCUCUC